GACGAACGCUGACAGAAUGCUUAACACAUGCAAGUCAUUGGCGAAGCUCCGCUUGCGCUGUCUAGCUAAGGUGGACGGGUGAGUAACGCGUAAGGAACUUGCUCCGCUGACAGGGAUAAUAGACGGAGACGACUGAUAACACCAGGGAAUAUCAGGCUGGCGCAUGCCGGCCGGAUGAAAGGUGUUGCGGUAGGAGAGCCUUGCGUCCUAUUAGCUAGUUGGUGGGGUAACGGCCCACCGAGGCGAUGAUAGGUAGCCGGGCUGAGAGGGAGAACGACCACAAGGGGACUGAGAGACGCCCCUUACUCCGGCGGGAGGCAGCAGUGGAGAAUGUUGGACAGGGGGGACAACCCUGAUGCAGCAAUUCUGUGUGGACGAAGAAGGUUUUCGUAUUAUAAAGUGCUUUCAGCAGGGAAGAAGAAAGUGACGGUACCUGCAGAAGAAGCGACGGCUAAAUACGUG
rnacentral:rRNA from 1 species